AUGAUAGGUGGGGCCCGAUUUUGGGGACGUGGCGUCACGGCCGCGAGCUCACGCCGUCUAACGGCGUGGCGGCCGCUACUGCUCCGGCGUGUGGGUAAAAACAGACCGCCGACUGCCGUUCUGCUGCUCCCCGGUGCCAUGGUGUCGUGGAGCGACGAGACCAGUGAGGAUUCAGUCCUGAACAUCUCCUCCUCCUGCGAUGGCAUCAUCAAGCUUCCAGCUACGAUGCACGAUCCGAAUUUCAAUGGUACUGAAGCAGAUGUGAAUGUGUUGUGUGAACACGGUGAGCCGGCCGAACGCUUUGUAGCAUUUGAAGGGAUGCACACGGGCAGGAGGUUUCUUGGAUGUGCUAAGAAGACUCAAUGGAGAAGGCAUUGGCCAAGCUAUGGGAUAUGUAUGAGGAGACUAAGUCAGCUAGGACCAAUGACAAUCUAG
rnacentral:rRNA from 1 species